UACGAAGGGGGCUAGCGUUGCUCGGAAUUACUGGGCGUAAAGCGCACGUUAGGCGGUCUUUUAAGUCGGGGGUGAAAUCCUGGAGCUCAACUCCAGAACUGCCUUCGAUACUGGAAGACUCGAGUCCGGGGAGAGGUGGAGUGGGAAACUUGCGAGUGUAGAGGUGAAAAUUCGUAGAUAUCGGGAGGAACACCAGUGGCGAAGGCGGCUCUCUGGACAAGUACCUGACGCUGAGACGCGAAAGCGUGGGUAGCAAACAGGA
rnacentral:rRNA from 1 species